rnacentral:rRNA from 1 species
UCCGUAGGUGAACCUGCGGAAGGAUCAUUACCGAGUUGAUUCGGGCUCCGGCCCGAUCCUCCCACCCUUUGUGUACCUACCUCUGUUGCUUUGGCGGGCCGCGGUUCUCCGCGGUCGCCCCCCUCCCCGGGGGGUGGCCAGCGCCCGCCAGAGGACCAUCAAACUCCAGUCAGUAAACGAUGCAGUCUGAAAAACAUUUAAUAAACUAAAACUUUCAACAACGGAUCUCUUGGUUCUGGCAUCGAUGAAGAACGCAGCGAAAUGCGAUAAGUAAUGUGAAUUGCAGAAUUCAGUGAAUCAUCGAAUCUUUGAACGCACAUUGCGCCCUUUGGUAUUCCGAAGGGCAUGCCUGUUCGAGCGUCAUUACAACCCUCAAGCUCUGCUUGGUAUUGGGCACCGUCCUUUGCGGGCGCGCCUCAAAGACCUCGGCGGUGGCGUCUUGCCUCAAGCGUAGUAGAACAUACAUCUCGCUUCGGAGCGCAGGGCGUCGCCCGCCGGACGAACCUUCUGAACUUUUCUCAAGGUUGACCUCGGAUCAGGUAGGGAUACCCGCUGAACUUAAGCAUAUCAAUAAGCGGAGGA